UCUUGUUUUGAUCAUUUUAUUCNGUGAAUCCAAGUGUUUGAGUCUUUUGCUUGAGAAAUCCAUUUCUGUUAUGUCAAAGUCGUGUUGCUUUGUUUUAAUUGUCAGUUAAAUCUGAGUUUAACUGUGAUUCAAUUGAGUUUAUGGCUUUGAGUAAGAUCUGUACAUCAUCAUAAGCAGUGACAUUCAUGUGAAUGAGCUUGAUGACAUACUUCAAUAGCAGUUUUAAUGUCAUUUCAUUUAUUUGAAGCUGUCUUGAGUUUUGAUGNUGUCCAUUACAUGUAAUUGUGUUG
rnacentral:lncRNA from 1 species